UACGUAGGGGGCAAGCGUUGUCCGGAAUCAUUGGGCGUAAAGAGCGUGUAGGCGGUUCGAUAAGUCGGCUGUGAAAGUCCAGGGCUCAACCCUGGGAUGCCGGUCGAAACUGUCGGACUAGAGUUCGGAAGAGGCGAGUGGAAUUCCCGGUGUAGCGGUGAAAUGCGCAGAUAUCGGGAGGAACACCAAUGGCGAAGGCAGCUCGCUGGGACGGUACUGACGCUGAGACGCGAAAGCGUGGGGAGCAAACAGG
rnacentral:rRNA from 1 species